UAAAAAUAUAAAAUGAUAUUUUUCUCAAUUUAAUACACUAUAUCAUUGUAUAUACAUCAAUUGGAUCUCAUUUGCUAACGUUCAAAUAGCACAUUAGUUCCGGAAAAUUUAUAUAACCGAAGAACUUCACUUCGAAUCAAUAAGAUGUAUCAAAAUUAGAUCUCAUUUAUUUUUACUUGAGCUCACUAUAACAUUUAAGGACAACACAAAAUCCUAAAAACUAUGGUGGAGCUUGUCAGGAAAAAUAUUAAAAUAAUCUCCUGCAAUAUCAUCACCCAACAAUGCAGAGGUUUGUUUUCAUCACUGCAAACGAAAUUCCAUAACA